rnacentral:tRNA from 1 species
GGGGCUGUAGCUCAGGUGGUAGAGCACUUGCCUUGCAUGCACAAGGCCCUGGGUUCAAUUCUCAGCACCA